CAGUGAUGUUUCCUCCCAGACGGAUGUCUGACUGCUGCUUGUCAGCAUCCAUCAUGCAGCAGAUCUGCUGCUGAGGUAAGAGUACAGAUGCCAGUGUGUUACGGAGGGAGAUCAGAGCCAGACUGACGGUCUCUGUCAGGGACGACUGGAGGACGUUCAAGUCAUUGUGAUAAUACCGGAGCAUCGAGCCAUCAGGUGCAUCAGGACUGAUUGGGCUCUGGAGUGAUGGAUUGAAAGGUUGGGUUUCAGUGUGACACAGUGUGUGAAAAAUGAUGGCUCCCUUACCUCAGAAAACCUUCCACCCACCUGGGACUCGAGCCUUGUCAUCCAGUGUUCGUUUCUCCAGCCCUCACAGAGAGAGUUCACCCCGGGGGAGGGUUUCGCAAGGUUGACAAGGGAGGUGUACCUUCACCACAGCACUCCCUCCCUGCUGCAGCAGGUCAGACAAGGAGACGGCUCCCUGCUGUCUGUGAUUCAUGGGUGUACUCAGCAGCAUUUAAUGAGAGCGUAACUCAAAUCUUUUUAUCAUACAGAGUACCAAAAUAACGAAGGAGCAGGAGAGGGAAGAAGGCAGUGUACGUAUUAGGACUGAUGUGUUUAGUGUAACUCAUUGAAUUAAAGAAGAUGUGACCCUUAUUCUGAUAUGAAUAUGUAUCUUUGUUUUACUGUUUGUAUCUCCUCUCAUACUUGUUCUGUGAUGAGAAUGGAUGGAGUUACAGUAUGUGUGGCUUCACCUCCAAGCUUCAUAUAAAGCAAGACAUGCAGUCUGCAAGAUAGACAGCAGGUAAAUCCUUCUCAGAAUUACUUAUUUGAAUAAUUUAGGUUAUGCAAAGUAAUUGUACAAAAGGUCCGGUUCUGUCUCUGCUGUCUGCCCUGUCUCGGUCACACCCAGCCCCGGGUGCAGAGGGGAUACACCUUCUGCACUCAAUUAGCUCUGAUUGAGCAUCGCUGGCUCUAUAAACUGCAGUCCACACAGACAAACAGGUUGGUCAAAUGAAGCCAAGCCACAUUACUUUGUCCCUCUUUCCUGAAUUCCUGAUUAGCGUGAAUGAAGAACAAAACAUGAGUACAGUUAUCACCUCAGUUAUGUAUAAAUUCUAAUUUGAACCUUUUGCUUUAAGAUAACAUUGUUGUUGGUAAAGUCAAUGGCUAUGACCCUUGUUUCAUGUAGGCCUCACAGUGUAGCUGUGGCCUCAUGUUUAGUGUGAUGCUUUGGCAUUCUGUCUGUUAUUAGCAUGUGGCUCGUGUAGUUUGUGUGUUGGUUGUCUGUCUGGACAGCAAGGAACCUUUGCUAUUGACUAAAAUAUAUCUAGCCCCACUUAUACAUGACUGGUAGUCUGAAAUAUUAGUUUUUCCUUUUUACAUUAUUGUCUGUUUAAAGUCUUCUCAUUUAUUUCCUGUUGGCUGUAUGUUUGACAUGACUUGUGUAGCUUAUAUGCCUUGUAUAAUGUCUGCUUUCCUUUCAUCCCUUUCUGCAGCAGGCUGCCACAACUGCUGCUCAAUAGCCUAUCAUAUUAUAUUCAAUAAACCUGUU